UACGUAGGGUGCAAGCGUUAAUCGGAAUUACUGGGCGUAAAGCGUGCGCAGGCGGUUAUGCAAGACAGAUGUGAAAUCCCCGGGCUUAACCUGGGAACCGCAUUUGUGACUGCAUAGCUGGAGUACGGCAGAGGGGGAUGGAAUUCCGCGUGUAGCAGUGAAAUGCGUAGAUAUGCGGAGGAACACCGAUGGCGAAGGCAGUCCCCUGGGCCUGUACUGACGCUCAUGCACAAAAGCGUGGGGAGCAAACAGG
rnacentral:rRNA from 1 species